CUUCUUGCGCAGCUUAGGUGGAAGGCUGAGAAAGGCAAUUCCGGUUGUCUGGAGCCAUCAGUGAGAUACCACUCUGGGAGAGCUAGGAGUCUAAUGGCGUUCCUUGAAUCAGGACGCUUGACAGUUUCAGGUGGGCAGUUUUACUGGGGCGGUAGCCUCCUAAAAGGUAACGGAGGCGUGCAAAGGUUCCCUCAGGCUGGACGGAAAUCAGCCAUAGAGUGUAAAGGCAGAAGGGAGCUUGACUGCAAGACCUACAAGUCGAGCAGGGACGAAAGUCGGCCUUAGUGAUCCGACGGUGCCGUAUGGAAGGGCCGUCGCUCAACGGAUAAAAGUUACUCUAGGGAUAAC
rnacentral:rRNA from 1 species